GGCGCGGUGGCGGAAUUGGUAGACGCGCAGGUCUCAAAAACCUGUGGUGGCAACAUCAUGUGGGUUCGAUUCCCACCCGCGCCA
rnacentral:tRNA from 1 species